UACGAAGGGUGCAAGCGUUGUUCGGAAUUACUGGGCGUAAAGCGCGCGUAGGCGGUCUAAUAAGUUGGGAGUGAAAUCCCGGGGCUCAACUCCGGAAUUGCUUUCAAGACUGUUAGACUCGAGUAUAGUAGGGGACAGUGGAAUUCCUAGUGUAGAGGUGAAAUUCGUAGAUAUUAGGAGGAACACCAGUGGCGAAAGCGACUGUCUGGACUAUUACUGACGCUGAGGCGCGAAAGCGUGGGGAGCAAACAGG
rnacentral:rRNA from 1 species